rnacentral:tRNA from 1 species
GGGUGGAUGGCUCAGUGGUAGAACAUCUGCUUUGAAUGAAGAAGAUCCCAGGUUCAACUUCCAGCAUAUCCA